CAAUCCCCCUUUCGGUAGCACUAGAGAGAGCAAGCAGAGCACACCUGACCCUCUUACUCGCUAACGUCCCAUCUCAACACAGAUGCUGUGGGUUCCUCACAUGUAGCAAAUGAAGAGGAAGGAACGGAACCAGCACAGGUGAUUCCCGUGGGGACGGAGGGGCUGCUAGAGGGAAAGUCUGAGGACCGUCCAGGGAAGCCGGAGCGCGCAGGUGCACGUGGCAGGUCCCAGGAGGGGGUUGGCCUUCUUGGGCGGCCUCUGCGCAGGCGCGAGCUCUGGGACGGGCGUGUGGGCGUGGCUACGGCCUCGUUGCGCCUGCGCGCAUGGCCGGCAGGGUCAGGUGACCGUUGAGCUCCAGCAGACGCCCUUGGCCCUUCCAGGUGAGGACCUGGCUCAGAGCUGCGGCUUCUCCUCCUGGAAGAUAUUCUUGCUGGAUUCUGAUUCCAUGUAUUUCCUCAAUUCUCAAAUAAUGAUGCAGCUUAGAAGACAGAAGACUAAGAAUGCCCUAGAUUUUUGGUGGAAGAACUUCUGAGGGAAUCGGGGACGCCUGUGAGACACACACACUCACUGCCAGUCCCUUAGUUGUCUGACAUCAGUAUUUCCUGCUCCUUCCCUGUGAGCCCCUCUCUGCCAUCAGGGAUCGUGAAAAAGGAUGUCGGAUCCACUACAUCACUGUAGAUUUCCCAUUUUUGUGGACAAUAAAAAGAACGAUAUAAAUGAAAAAUAUCCAACUCGCGGUUGAUUAUAUGGACGCCGUACGCCGUACACCUGACCUUCUCCUGAGUGACAGUUCUACACAUCUAGUGGAUCUAGAGCACAAGAGGUAACUUCAGGACAUCUGAAACGUUUUUAUUGAGGAAGAACUUUCCACCAAGCAUCACAAUCCACAGUAAGCACUGGAAACAUUUCCACCAAAGUAAUCACACGUUGAGUUGCCUGACCCAGAGAAAUCCUGAGACAUCUGCAGAGAGGCCGGCCUACUCCUACACAGCCACCGUGGCAUUCUUUACAUUCUUUACAUCAGCGAAAA